AUAAUACAGGCCAGUGUGAUAGUACACAGCUUUCAAUUUAAUUCAUACAUAUAACUAAGAUUUUGUAUUAAAUUGUUAAAAACUGCUAGCAAAAAAUAGAACAAAUGCUACCUGAAGACUCAAAUAGAUUUAAAAAGAUACCAACCCUGUUCCAUACAAACCCUGGAAUACGGUUUCCAUGGAGCCACACAAAGAGAACAGGAAUUCUAAGAAAGGGGUAGAAAGCUACAUUCUAUCCUUUGGCCCAGCCCCAGCCCCAACCCUGUUGACAUUAGGCCCUCUGUUCAGAACCUCUCAGGAGAGAAAACUGAGGCAGAUAACCUGAGCUGUCCACCUGGACCUGGCCUGGUACUAAAAUCUGCGUGCAAACUUGGAAGUUGAUUAGGAGGCAAGCAUCACAAAGUAUUCAGUUAUGUGGUUUCUUCGGAGUCUGCUGUUUUGAUGAUUUUCCAGUCUGUGUCUAGAAAGCCAUUCACUAUCGUCUUAUCUUUCCCAUCUGAGAUGACAGCUCUAAAUGUUUAAAACAAACAGAAAUCUGUCCCAGAGUAACCACUGUCCAUCCUACCAUUCUCACGACACAGAAUGAAGACAUUGUGUGAGUACCUGAGCUGUUGCAGCCGCCUUGCAACCACAUAAAGCAACACUGCCAAUACAUUGAGGAUUGCAGAGCAGGAAGAAGGAUUCUUGCUACAACUGGUCACCUGCUAAGUCGACUGAACUUCUUGCUAAGUGGGGAAAUAAAUAUAUUUACUGUAUAAGCUACUUUCAGUUGAGCAUUGUAUAACUUCCUAUUAAAAGCAUCUUAAUUGAAAUUCCCAAA